CAUGGGUGACGACUGAACACAUUAGUGCAUGGAGGAUAUACAUUAUAAACAGAGUCAUUUUCCAUCUCAUUAUUUUAAUCAUUUUGUCAAAAAAUCUGAACAUGUGUACAUAAAUACUUGAUUUGUUAAAAGAAUGUGUAGCAUAGAAAUCCCUGAGACACAUUCAAAAAUGACUUGACAUCUUGACAUGUAUUCAAUGCAAGUAUUCACCAAACUAAAUACCAAGGACUUGGCUCCUUUCCCUGAUAUUUGAGGCAUAUAAAGCUUUAAAAAUAUAUAUAAUAUACUAUAUAUAUAAUUUACAUCUUUAAAGUUAAAUUAUAUUUUCUUUCUCUGAUUCCUGGUUUUCUGCCAGUUUACUGCUCCUGCAUAUUGUCAGUUCCAGACUGUAAGGAAGCCACAUUGGAAAGCAGAUAAGCACUUUCAACCUUAGGGUGCCAGUUAGUAGAAUGAUAGCACGUGGAACUAGGAGGUCCCAACAGAUGAUUUUGUCUAACCCACUCAUUUUGCAGUUCAGGUGACAGAGGCUCAAAGAGGUUGUGAUUUGCAGAAGCAUGGCUGGUUCUGCCACUGCUAUUGUAAUGUUAUGCAAGUCCUUCAGUGGGCCUGGACCUUGGCUCCUUCCUCGGUAAAAUGGACUGAUGGUAAUCACAGCGAAUAUUUUCCAGGUGCUUCCUACAUGCCAGGCACUAUCCUGAGUACUUCAAGUGUCUAAUCUAUCCUCUCAACACCUCCAUAAAUUAUAUAUGCAAAGCGUAAAAUAUUUACUCCCUGGAAAAACGUUUGCCAAUCCCUGGUUUAGAUCCUUGAAAAUUUAGAACAUCUUAUAAUUAUAUAGCACUUUACAAUAUACAAAGCACCUUGGCAUACAUCAUCACAUUUAAUCUUUGUUUUGUAGGGGGAUAGGCAUUCAUGCAUUGUAAAGGAGAAAGCUAAAACUCAAGAGUUUAAGUAACUUGCUUCAUCAAGGCCACAGAGUCAUACCCAGGUUCUGACUCCAAACUGCAUGCUCUUUACAUGAAACUCCUCUGUCUCCCCUAAAUUACUGCUAGGAAAAGACUUGGAAACUGGAAAGAACUUGUGAAUACUGAAAGCAAGUCAGACCGUCUUCUGUUACAAAUGUCAUUCCAGGUGCAUUCAUGUAAUUAGAGUCAUCAAGUACUAAAAAUACUAAAUUUGUAAUAAAUUUGAGGGAAAAGCCUUAAAGGAGGACAUGACAAUCAUAGGAAAGGCAUUUUGAAAUACAUACAGUGCACCGAUAUGCAUUUUUCUUAAGGUAUGUUAGAGCUGAACCUACUCAAUUUAAUAUAUGCAAAAUAAAAUGAGCAAUUGCCACAUUCAUCUCGCUCUCUGAUGAGAUUAGUGUUAAAUUGUUCCACAUUAACAAUGUGUAUGUGAAUAAAAAUGCAAUGGCUGGGCACGGCGGCUCACACCUGUAAUCCCAGCUCUCUGAGAGGCCGAGGCAGGUGGAUCACAAGGUCAGGAGUUCAAGACCAGCCUGCCCAACAUGGUGAAACGCAGUCUCUACUAAAAAUACAAAAAAUUGGCCAGGCGUGGUGGCAGGCGCCUGUAGUCUCAGCUGCUCGGGAGGCUGAGGCAGGAGAAUCGCUUGAACCUGGGAGGCGGAGGUUGCAGUGAGCCAAGAUCACGCCACUGCAGUCCAGCUGGGGCUACAGUGCAAGACUCCGUCUCAAAAAAAAAAAAAUGCAAUUAUACCUUCCUCAUGCUAAUUAUUCCAUAAAUAAUAUGGUUAGUUCUAAAUGGACUUAAUACUAAAAAAAAAUUGGUAAAAUAAUAGAUACCAAUUUAUAGAGCUUUACCAAAACGAACCAAAAAAAUAUUUUCAAAGAAAGCCUAGGUGCUUCUUCCUAGUUUGCAAGUCAAGCUUAAUCUAAAUGGUGAUUUAGAUUAUCCUUUUAAUUUAUUCUACAACAUACCUUAAGAUAUAAUUUUAGACCUAUAAAUAGAUAUGAGGACAUCCUGAAAUCACUGCAAGCAAAGAAGGAAGAUAUAAAAUCAUCAAUUGGGUGCCUGCUAUUUUAGGUACUUUCACUUACUUCCUAAAGUGCUCAAAAUGAGCUUGUGAAGUAUUUUCGCCAGUCAUUUUAUAGAUGAGGACGCUGAGGCUCAGGACUACUACUAAUUUACCCAAUGUCACAUAGCUGGAAUUCAAAUCUAAACUAGGUUACCUUCAAAACCUGAACUCUUUCCCACUGCCCCAUGUGGAAUCCCGGUAACACCAAGAUCACUGACUGUUAUCUCAUAAAAACUCAUUUUAAGAACUGAACUUUUAUCUUUAUUCGGUGGCUGGCACUUUGUAAUUGUAAUUCUGCCCACACUUUAAUACUUUAAUGAGGACAUUUUCUCCACAGCUUUUCAUUUGUCCUCUCAAGAAAGUGAAUUGAAGCACCUAGAUUUAAGUGAGCUUUUCAAGUAUGUCUGCAAAAACAUGUACAGAGAGGUAAAACUUGCUUUAUGAUUCAGAGAACUGCACUAAUCAAAUGCAAAAUGACUAUUUACAGCAGAACUCUGUAUAAAACUAGUUAAUCUUGACCCUACCCACAAUAAUUAGUCACUGAGGGUCCUUAUUCUAAUAAGUGGAGGAGAAAACUCCCAUUAUUUCAGGCUUUAAGUCAACUAGCUUUCUAAUAUUGAUUUAUGGUAUCAUUAAGACUGUCACAGUAAUCAAACAGGUUCUGCCAAUUGUUUUAUCAGUCACCAUUUACUUUUUGGAAGUGAUAGAUUGUAAGAGCCCUAAAGAGAAGGACUUUGCCUUGUAUAAUUCUCUAUCUUCCCUAGGGCCCCAAGCUCAGUGUCUGGCAGAGUAGGCAUGUAGUGGCACCUGCUGAAUAUGCUGCUUACUCAGUAACUUGUCAAGUCAAUGCAUGUAUGUUCAAGAUUGGUUCCAUAGCACAGUCUCAAGGGCACUAGAAAUGUGAGGAUAUGCUAUACCACUGCAUUGACUGUGAGGGGAACCUGCUGGCACCAGGGAGAAGCGCAGAUUUAGCCUUUAACAAGAGACAGAGUAAGUUAAUAGUAGGCACUAAUGUAGUUCUGAGGAUCUAAACAUUUAACUAAAAACUGUCAGAGAUAAACAAAAACUGCCAACAACAGAUAUCAUGAAACUUUUUUUCCUUUUGCAUGAUUCCAUAAUGUAGUGCAAUACCUUUCACUGUUCUGCAGAGGGUAAUGCCAGCACUCCUGCAGGACUGGCAUUGCAGUUUAAAUUUCAGGUCCAGUAAAGACAUGAAAUAAAUAAUUGUGUGGAAGUGACACUAUGGCUUCCUUCUCUUCUGUCUGUAAACACAGACUGGUUUUCUGGGAAGAGGGAAAAAGGUUGCUUCUGCUUUAUUUUCACAUCUGUAAUUUUAAUAUGAUUUAAAAAAUCCAGGUUAUAGAAAAACAUAAAGACAGAAGAAACAAAUUAGGAGAUGACUAUUCACAUUGUAAAGGGAUAAAUUCUCCAUAGGGUUUCAUUAAAUACUGAACUCCCCUAAGUCAAUGAAUUUGGGACUUGAUUUAAAUGCAGCUUUUCAGGAAUACAUUUCUUAUGUAAAGUGAGGUACACGCAUGUAUUCAUCUUAAGUUUCCUCCAAGGACAAUCCAGCACUUUGCUUCCAUUCACAGGACAGGGGAACAGAUAGUACUUGUGAAAGAAGUCAGCGGCCCCUCUUGGACUGCCCUCCUCACCUUUCUCAGGAGCCAAGGCUGUGAGGAAUCCAAACAACAAAGUCCCACCUGCAGCCACAGUCCUUCCACUCUCCACCAACAAGGCUCCUUCUACAACCACAAAUUUGCUUCACCUUGGUCCAGAAAAACGUGAAUCGGGAACAGUUGUGUAUGAGAUUUGGAAGCUGCACGGGCCACAAAUAUGGCCUGUGGCAGAUGGGGAAAUUCAGGAAACCGCCUCAACGGCUUCUUGCCGCUAAGCUAUUUCAUUUCUGCACUGGUUACAAGAGCAAAAAUGGGUGUUUGAAGAACUUACUCCCAUGAUGCGGCAGUCAAGGAGAUGCACAGUAGAGGAUCAAAAAGCUGACAACUUGGCCUCCCCUGGGUCGCUUCCAGGGGAGCGCGGCUUCACCGCUCGAACCAGCUGGCCAAGUUCCGUAUGCUCUUGGGCCGGUCCCCAGCCCUCUGUACAGCCUGGCACACCCGGCACCAAGGCUCGUCCCAGAAGGAGGUGAUGUGGACAGCGUAGCUCCGGCGCCAGUGGAAGUAGCGGCGAUAGACCGCGGGGUUGCGGUCGAGGAAAAGCAGGUACGAGGCCAGGGAGGAGGCACUUGGGAAGUCGUCCACGUGGAUGAAGGCGCCGCGGGGCACAAAGCGCUCGUAGUUGGCACGGUCUGGGCCCAGCACCACCGGCACCGCCCCAGCGAGCAACGCGUUGCGCCAGAGCUUCUCGGUGAUAUAAUCCAGGUGCUGCGAGUUCUCGAAAGCCAGGUAGAACUUGUAGCGGGCCACUGUGUGCAGGAGCCCAAUUUCGGGCACCGGCUGCCCCGGCCCGCCCCGGCCGAACACGUCCACGGUCACAUGUUGGCUCAGUUGGUGGUAGUAGCGGACCCGGGCCUGGCGCUCGUCCCAGUGGCUCACCACCCAUGCCACCAGCCCCUGUUUCCUGGACAGUGGCGGGGCCAGGCCUGAGGGCGGGUCGCCGGGGUGGCUUCUGGGGUAGAGGUAGCCAUAAGGCACAAAGACGUCCGAGUCCGCCCGGUAGGAGAGCGUCCAGUUGAAGAGGUUACUUGCCAGGCUUCGCAGCCCCGGGGAGUGCGAGGGCGACUCGAAGUUCAUCCAAACCCAGCGCUGGCCCGGGGGCCUGGGGCUGGAGGUCGCCAGGGCUUCUGCCGCCGCCGCUGCCUCCUCGUAGUCCAACACGCGCAGAUCCACCUCCUCGGCAGUGUGCGCCUGGAUGCCCC
rnacentral:lncRNA from 1 species